AUGUUCUCUGUAGCUCUGCUGCUGCUGCUGGCUGCUGGGUCCUGUGUGAAGUGUGAACAACUGACACAGUCAGCCUCCUUAACUGUGCAGCCAGGUGUGAAGUGUGAGCAGCUGACCCAGCCAGCCUCUGCRACUGUGCAGCCAGGUCARCRUCUGACCAUCAGCUGUCAGGUCUCUUAUGAUCUGGGCUACAGGACACACUGGAUCAGACAACCUGCUGGGAAAGGACUGGAGUGGAUCGGUUACACAUGCCAAGGAUGCACUSCAGUCUACAAAGAUUCUKUAAGGAACAAGUUCAGUUUUACWKUGGAUUCUUCCAGUAAAACAGUGACUCUGAAUGGACAGAAUCUCCAGCCUCAGGACUCUGCUGUGUAUUACUGUGCUAGACAGUCACAGUGA